CAGGCAACUACUCAACUCUCUGUAGACAAGCUACAGUUUGUCUUCGUUAGGAAAAUUGGGGCCGCCGAGCAUAAAGCACACAUAUUCAAAGCUGGUAAACCCAGCAACACAGCACAAGAGAGAUAAUAAUAGCAACUAAUUAUCAAUUUCCUGCGAUGGAUGCUUAAAGAGCAAUUACAUAAGAGCAACCCAUAAAAGUCCUCAGAGGAUAGCGUUCCUGGGCAAAGGCAGAACAGCCUGGACUGGAGGCUUAGAAGAGACACCUGAAGGAAACCAUCAUCCCAGCCACAAGGAUUUCAGCCCUGACCAUCAUAGGUCUGCUAAACUUUGGACAGCUUCUGGCAAUAGAGCAUUAGAGAUGCCAGAUAAGACCAAGAUCAGCAGCUCAGGUCUCCACAGCGGAAUCCCCAAAUGCCCUUUGGCUAAUGAAAACUAGCCAAUGGCCAUUGGGUUUUAAGCUACUUCUUUGUGGAGUGGCAAGUUAACAAAGUGAUACCUAGUACUAAAU
rnacentral:lncRNA from 1 species